ensembl:lncRNA
UGUAAAUUCAAAAUCGGGCCCUCAGGCAACCGUCGGCUCCGCGCGCCUGGCUGGGCGUGGCUGGGGAAAGGGCCGAGGGCGGCCGGGAGGGGCAACGGGGACUGCUCGCGCCGCGGCCCUGGGCCCGGCCGGGCCUUCCCACCACCCCGCGGGGACCCCCUGGCGGGGCAGGGCCAGCGGAUGGCGGGAAGAGGCCCAGAGGUUUCCGGGGCGGGUCUGUGCCACCACCCACACCAGGCAGUUCAGGGAAAUUCAAAAGUAAACGUUUCUAAUAGCCACACACAGAACUCGCAGAGGCUGGGAUGACCGCGGGCGUUGUGACCUUAUCCCCGCCCCGCGAAGGUUCGGAAAACUGCCUGGAGGCCGCACCGCGGUGGAGUUACGUAACGGGCGCUGGUGACAAGCGUGCGGGUUCCAAGUGCAAACCUGUGCUUUUCUCUCUCAGUGGAAAGCGUAUCAGAACACCUUCCCAUCAAAUUGACACACGUGCGUCUUGAAGACAAGAUAAAAACCGAAGAAAAAUCGGUGUUGACGGGCGGUCCCUGUUCCGUUUUAUUUAACAACUUAGGGCCUUAUAAAAUCAAAACCUCACAUGUGAUAUGAUUAACAGGUUACUAAGUAUUUAACACAAGCUGUUCAUGCUCGUGCUUCAGUAAAAUCCAAUGCAUCGAAAACUAAACUUGUGAAAAUUUCUGAAGACUGGACGGAGAAGGCAAUGGCACCCCACUCCAGUACUCUUGCCUGGAAAAUCCAUGGACGGAGGAGCCUGGAUACAUGGGAUCUUAGUUCUCUGACAUGGAAUUGAACCUGAGGCCCCUGCAGUGGAAGCAUGGAGUCUUAGCCACUGGACCUCGUGGAGAAGUGCCAAGGUCAAUUAUCAAAAAGGCCAGUACAACACAAGUUGAGAAGGGAAUCUUUCUAGUACUCCAGCAGGAAUCAAUUGUCUCCCUAAACUUCCUUUCCACUGGAAUUUAUAUCCCAUUAGGAUGAUAUCUCAGCCAAGUAAAUGCUUAGCAUCACUCAGGCUGGAAUGUCACCAGCCGUAAACAUUUCAAAAAUACACAUCCAAGCCAGCCUUGGCUAGGAGCCAAGACAAUACAGUAAUCCACUUGGACAGCUAUGAGGGUGAAGCUGGGUCAGAGAUAAGCAGCGCCAGCUAAAUGUUCAUAGUUUACCUCCCACCUGAUGAGUCCAGACUCCGGCUGUGCAGCACGGGUGUCCUCAUUGUGCCAUCUAAGACUUCAAGACACCAUAACACAACUUUUGUUACUGCAACUACACUCAUUUCUGACACACAUCAUUUCCCAAAGUGAAUACUUUUCCUAAAUUCAUACAUGGAUACUGAAGUUAGCUGCUGAUAUAAAAUCCUCAGUGUUCUUCAUUUUUAAUUGUUACGUUUCUCCCAGGUUGUAUUUCAUG